AUCGGAGCCACGAAGUCGUUUCGUUGUUUAGUCUGGAUCAGGUUCAGCGGGUGAUCGCGAGGUUCCCGUGUAUUCCUGGGUCUGGCCAAGCAUUGUAAGCGUACACUGCAACCAGUUAGACGAUCAGUAGUGGGUCAAGUGUUGUGAGUGGCGAGCAAUCGUCGCGAGCUUCACGAACAAAUUGUCCAUCUUGGUUAGUAGUAGCGCGGUUGUGCUUCGGCAUAAUUCGUGUUGCUGGACCAUAAUGGGUGAACUACAACUGAAUACUGACUGGCGAAAUGAAAAUCGCUUCCCUAUGGGAGCGUUAGAGACAAAGCUGCCAACACCAUAUAAAUCUACACACUCGACUGUUAAGUCUAAGCUUGGCGUCUUCGAAUUCAGACUUGCUUGCUACCAGUGGGGCAACUCCUGGUGCUUGUAUAGCUUCUGUCUAAUCAGGCGUCGACUUGGCCUAGCAUCGUUCGGAUGUGCUACGAUUGGGUUUGUAUGUUAGCUGGUAAGCAAUGUGAAUU
rnacentral:rRNA from 1 species